ACACUUCAGAUAGCGGGCGUUCUGAGGAAGGCAUUGUCUCUCUGUGUGUUUGCACAGUGUGUAAUGUAUGGGGCCAUCUGGGUGUUACUGUGAUGCAAAUAACAAGGAACAAUCCUUAUGUCAGACACAGCUGAAUUUAAUAGCAUUAAUCGCUUGUGUGGGAUCACUGGGUGACAACAGACUUCUUCUGGAAAGUUUUACGGGAUACAACUUUCUUCUACGCUGCUUACCCAGAAGUACUAUGUAACAUUGCUGGGACCUGUUAAAUCCCUGCUGUGCUCACCCCCACCAGAGACAGAUGAAAUUUGGUGAAGCAAAGUGAUGCCUGUACAUGGAGUAAAUGUAAUGAUGAAGGAGGAUCAGCAGCAGGGGCUAGCUGCCCACAGUACACGUUUAAUGUCUUUGAGAGGCCCAGAUCAUGCAGGUGCAGCGUACCAGACUGAGACUUCUCUGCACCUGUCCCAGAGACCUGCCCUUGAUGAGCCAGUUGUCGAGAUAUGGAAAGAUCUGGACCCCCGCGACAUCUGAGCAUCCAGAAUCGCUUCUGCAUUACAAUGGUGAAGAGAUCUGCAAGCAAUUAAAAUGUCUACUUCAGGACCUUUCAAUUUAAGUUUUAUAUCAUCAACUUCUUGUCUCUGACAGUAUCAUCAAAACAGAACAAAAAGCUAAAAAUUUUCCCUGGUUUUCCAAUCAAAACUUCUUUCAUUCAACAAAGACUCAGAGAAAAGGUUUUUUUUUUAAAAAAAUACCCAUUACCU